rnacentral:rRNA from 2 species
AAAAUUCUGUUGUUAGGGAAGAACAAGUACCGUUUGAAUAGGGCGGUACCUUGACGGUACCUAACCAGAAAGCCACGGCUAACUACGUGCCAGCAGCCGCGGUAAUACGUAGGUGGCAAGCGUUGUCCGGAAUUAUUGGGCGUAAAGCGCGCGCAGGCGGUUUCUUAAGUCUGAUGUGAAAGCCCCCGGCUCAACCGGGGAGGGUCAUUGGAAACUGGGGAACUUGAGUGCAGAAGAGGAGAGUGGAAUUCCACGUGUAGCGGUGAAAUGCGUAGAGAUGUGGAGGAACACCAGUGGCGAAGGCGACUCUCUGGUCUGUAACUGACGCUGAGGCGCGAAAGCGUGGGGAGCGAACAGGAUUAGAUACCCUGGUAGUCCACGCCGUAAACGAUGAGUGCUAAGUGUUAGAGGGUUUCCGCCCUUUAGUGCUGCAGCAAACGCAUUAAGCACUCCGCCUGGGGAGUACGGUCGCAAGACUGAAACUCAAAGGAAUUGACGGGGGCCCGCACAAGCGGUGGAGCAUGUGGUUUAAUUCGAAGCAACGCGAAGAACCUUACCAGGUCUUGACAUCCUCUGACAACCCUAGAGAUAGGGCUUCCCCUUCGGGGGCAGAGUGACAGGUGGUGCAUGGUUGUCGUCAGCUCGUGUCGUGAGAUGUUGGGUUAAGUCCCGCAACGAGCGCAACCCUUGAUCUUAGUUGCCAGCAUUCAGUUGGGCACUCUAAGGUGACUGCCGGUGACAAACCGGAGGAAGGUGGGGAUGACGUCAAAUCAUCAUGCCCCUUAUGACCUGGGCUACACACGUGCUACAAUGGGCAGAACAAAGGGCAGCGAAGCCGCGAGGCUAAGCCAAUCCCACAAAUCUGUUCUCAGUUCGGAUCGCAGUCUGCAACUCGACUGCGUGAAGCUGGAAUCGCUAGUAAUCGCGGAUCAGCAUGCCGCGGUGAAUACGUU